rnacentral:rRNA from 1 species
UUUUGCGCAAUGGGCGAAAGCCUGACGCAGCAACGCCGCGUGUGUGAUGAAGGUCUUUGGAUUGUAAAGCACUUUCGACCGGGACGAAAACCCCUGGGCUAAUACUCCAGGGCUUGACGGUACCGGGAGAAGAAGCACCGGCUAACUCUGUGCCAGCAGCCGCGGUAAUACAGAGGGUGCAAGCGUUGUUCGGAAUUAUUGGGCGUAAAGCGCGUGUAGGCGGCCUGACAAGUCGGAUGUGAAAGCCCUCGGCUCAACCGAGGAAGUGCGUUCGAAACUGUCGGGCUUGAGUACCGGAGAGGGUGGCGGAAUUCCCCAAGUAGAGGUGAAAUUCGUAGAUAUGGGGAGGAACACCGGUGGCGAAGGCGGCCACCUGGACGGUCACUGACGCUGAGACGCGAAAGCGUGGGUAGCAAACAG